AUGAACGCUAGCGGCGUGGAUAAGGCAUGCAAGUCGAACGCUCCAGUUUACUGGAGAGUGGCAAACGGGUGAGUAAUACGUUGGUAACCUACCUUGAAGUUUGGGAUAACAUCGAGAAAUUGAUGCUAAUACCAAAUGGUCCCGCAAGGGUAAAGAUUUAUCGCUUCAAGAAGGGCCGACGCACUAUCAGCUUGUUGGUGAGGUAAUGGCUCACCAAGGCUAUGACGGUUAGGAGGCUCGAGAGGGUAUUCUCCCACAUUGGCACUGAGACACUGGCCAAACCCCUACGGGAGGCUGCAGUCGAGAAUCUUCGUCAAUGCGCGAAAGCGUGAACGAGCGACGCCGCGUGAGUGAUGAAGCCCUUCGGGGUGUAAAGCUCUUUUAUUAGGGACAAGCUUUGAUGGUACCUAGUGAAUAAGAGGUUGCUAACUCUGUGCCAGCAGCAGCGGUAAUACAGAGACCUCAAGCGUUAUCCGGAAUUAUUGGGCGUAAAGCGUCUGUAGGUUGGAUAAAUAGUCAGAUGUCAAAUUUUAGGGCUCAACCUUAAAACUGCAUUUGAAACGUUUAUUCUAGAGGAUGGUAGGGGCAAGUAGAACUUAUAGUGUAGCAGUAAAAUGCGUUGAUAUUAUAAGGAAUACCAAAAGCGAAGGCAUCUUGCUGGACCAUUCCUGACACUGAGAGACGAAAGCGUGGGUAGCGAAUGGGAUUAGAUACCCCAGUAGUCCACGCUGUAAACGAUGGAUAUUAGGCAUUAGGAGUGUCGACCCUUUUAGUGCCGAAGCUAACGCGUUAAAUAUCCCGCCUGGGAAGUACGGCCGCAAGGCUAAAACUCAAAGGAAUAGACGGGGACCUGCACAAGCGGUGGAACAUGUGGUUUAAUUCGACGAUAAACGAGGAACCUUACCCAGGCUAGAAGCCAUCCGAAUCCCUGUGAAAGCGGGGAGUGCCGCAAGGAGCGGAUGGACAGGUGCUGCAUGGUUGCCGUCAGCUCGUGCCGUGAGGUGUUCGGUUAAGUCCAGCAACGAGCGCAACCCUUGUCGAAUGUUGUAUUUUUCAUUCGAUACUGCCCGAGUUAAUUGGGAGGAAGGUGGGGAUGACGUCAAAUCAGCAUGGCCCUAGACGCCUGGGGCUACACACAUGUUACAAUGGGAGAUUACAAAGGGUUGCCAAACCGAAAGGUGGAGCUAAUCCCAUCAAAGUCUCUCUCAGUUCGGAUUGAGGGCUGCAACUCGCCCUCAUGAAGCCGGAAUCGCUAGUAAUCGUGAAUCAGCUAUGUCACGGUGAAUACGUUCUCAGGUCUUGUACUCACCGCCCGUCACAUCAAGAGAGUCGGUAAUACCCGAAGCUCCUCCGUUUAAUAGG
rnacentral:rRNA from 1 species